rnacentral:rRNA from 1 species
UUCGGGGUGCGCAGGCGCGAAAACUUUACAAUGCGGGAAACCGUGAUAAGGGGACACCGAGUGCCAGCAUCAUAUGCUGGCUGUCCGGGUGUGUAAAAUACACCCGUUAGCAAGGGCCGGGCAAGACCGGUGCCAGCCGCCGCGGUAACACCGGCGGCCCGAGUGGUGAUCGUGAUUAUUGGGUCUAAAGGGUCCGUAGCCGGUUUGGUCAGUCCUCCGGGAAAUCUGACGGCUCAACCGUUAGGCUUUCGGGGGAUACUGCCAGGCUUGGAACCGGGAGAGGUAAGAGGUACUACAGGGGUAGGAGUGAAAUCUUGUAAUCCCUGUGAGACCACCUGUGGCGAAGGCGUCUUACCAGAACGGGUUCGACGGUGAGGGACGAAAGCUGGGGGCACGAACCGGAUUAGAUACCCGGGUAGUCCCAGCCGUAAACGAUGCUCGCUAGGUGUCAGGCAUGGCGCGACCGUGUCUGGUGCCGCAGGGAAGCCGUGAAGCGAGCCACCUGGGAAGUACGGCCGCAAGGCUGAAACUUAAAGGAAUUGGCGGGGGAGCAC